rnacentral:rRNA from 1 species
AUUGAACGCUGGCGGCAGGCCUAACACAUGCAAGUCGAACGAGUGGCGGACGGGUGAGUAAUGUAUGGGAAACUGCCCGAUGGAGGGGGAUAACUACUGGAAACGGUUGCUAAUACCGCAUACCAUCGGAUGUGCCCAGAUGGGAUUAGCUUGUUGGUGGGGUAAAGGCUCACCAAGGCGACGAUCCCUAGCUGGUCUGAGAGGAUGACAAGCCACACGGGGACUGAGACACGGCCCAGACUCCUACGUGAGGCAGCAGUGGGGAAUAGUGCACAAUGGGGGAAAGCCUGAUGCAGCCAUGCCGCGUGUAUGAAGAAGGCCUUCGGGUUGUAAAGUACUUUCAGCGGGGAGGCGUUACCCGCAGAAGAAGCACCGGCUAACUCCGUGCCAGCAGCCGCGGUAAUAC